CGCGAGCGGGCCCCAAACGCCCGGCCCCUCGAUGCAGGCCGCGGGUCUCUGCCCGCGUCCCCCGAGAGCAGAGAGAGGAGAGCGCGGAGUUCGCCCGGCGAGGCGGCUCCCCGCCCCGUCCCCUCGCAGCCGCUCCGUGUGCUUUUCCAAAGGAACGUUAAUGCCCCCGGGCUGUCCGCUGCUGCCUCCGCGUUGGCUGCCAGGUCAGCGCAGAUUGCCGUGCGGGGAUUUUCUGCCUCGUCCCGGGAUUCGCGCCCUUCACCGUUCUCACGGUACCCCCGUUAGAGCGCCAGGAGCGUUAACGUCGCUGCCCGUCCUUUCCCUUCCAGCGGGUCCGCGCCCUGCACGGAUGCAGGAGGCGCUGCAGGGUUCGCUGUCCCGGCCGGAGGCGCUGCUGUGGGCUCAGUGGCAGGCGGGGCACAGCCAGCCGCCCACCUCGGCCGUGCAGGAAGGGGGAAGCGGGUGGGAAAGGUGAAAUGAGGAAGCAGGAGGGCUGGUAUGCCUGCAGUCCGAUAAGCAAAAGGAAGAAAUAUUUAAAAAAUGGCAAAGUCCUCCUCCACCCCCUGAGAAAACAACCCAAGAAAAGCUCAUGGUGCAGAAUGCAAUUGCAUACCGCUAUGUGAGCAGUGCCCAGCCGGCCCCCAGGCAGCAGUUUUCCCCUGGAAAAAUUCCCCCGCGGCCCUCUUGCUGAGCACGGCACUGCAUGAGCUGGGACGUCCCGGCUGUGUGCCCUCCCAGCAGGACAGGAGCUGUGCACGUGCAGCACGCUCACUGGGAAGGCAGCUUGAGGAACAGGAAAGACAUUGACUCUGUGUAAGCACUGCUGAGCUGCAGCUACAUCUGUAUGUUUUCAACACCGCUUUCAUCACAAAACCAAAGCACGGGACAGCAGGAAGUACUGUGAAAAAAAAUAACGCUCCCCAAAACCGGCACGGGCACGGUAGGGCUGCUGCUGGAGCAUCUGGAAGAUCUCCGUCCCAGCUGUCUGUGCUGCUGCUGGCCGAGUGACCAUCACACAUCAAGGGGUCCCACACGGGGGUAGCCCCAAUUGCAGAUGGAUCCCGUUGCGUGCUCCUGGGAAAGCCCUAGGGCAACACUCAAGACUGCAGUGCUGGUGAAGUCCUAGUCUGGCAGAGCCUGAGCACCAUGCUGUGUCUUGUCUCAAGGUCCAUGCAAUGCUGCACGACUUCUUCCCAACAUCUGAAGGAAUGCUGGAAGACACGGAGCUAUCCCUGUUUGCUCACAGAGCUGGCCCAGCUUGCGCAGAGAUGGGCGCCGUGCUGAAAUGAGAGGAAGCGUCUCCCACAGUCUGUGCAGCUGCUGAGUGGGUUAAUGACCCUUUCAUACUGCUCUGUACCCCUCAACCAUAAACUGUCUGCCCCACAGUUCAUAUUUUGCCCUUCUUUUGUGCUGUGAAGCAGUGCUGGCCCACUUACGCUUCUCGAAAGUCAAUACAAUGGAUGUGCAGUGAUUAUGUGGAGUGUUUUUCAACGUCCCAAUGAAAUGAGUGCUUCUCUCAACUCUUUCACUUUCAUGGAAGCCCCGCAAAGACAUAAGUGAAUCUCUUGGCUUUGAUAUAAAGAGACAAGCUUUGUGGAGAGGAACUUUGCAAUCCUGCCAUCAGAGCACCAACAUUAGCGCCACCUUCUCGCUCUGUUGUGCAGCAAAGGAGCAGCCUUUUGCAAUGAGUGCUUGGAGCAGCAGCAAGCCAUUCGUCAUCCAGGGCAGCCUUCUGUGAUUCAAACAAGUCUCCUGUGGGACUGAGAAUGGACUAGGCUCCCAUAACCCUGCACUGCAGCUUCAUACACUGUGUGCUUCUUUCUUUGCUGUCACAAAACCUGUAAGAGGGAGAAAUGUUAGAAAGAGAGUCUGAACUACCUGCAGAAGCAGUCCUCUCACAGCAGCCUUCGAGCUGAAUUCGAUUAUUUGGAGGGGAAUCUGUUUUGUCAGAGCUGCUAUCUCUGGCAGACACUCUCUCCUUUGAGAGAACUGACGCAGACACGCAGAGAUGCCCUACCAUGUCUUGACUGUGAUGAAGAAAAGCAAUAUUUUGGGAAAUCUGACUUGGAUCGGGUGUAAGAGUUGUUGUCAGAGCCAGGCCAGAUGUUGGCCAUUCUUAUUUUCUAAAUACAGGUUUCUCUGAAUGCAAACAAACACUGCAAGCAUUUUGCUACACUAUAAAUGUAUGUGUUGUACAAGUGGUGGACGAGGGUUAUGUUGGUUUAAGACCUCAUUAUCACUUGGUGGGGAAUGAUUCACUUUUCUAUAAAGCUCGAGCAUUAAUUAAUUAAAAUAUGAUAUCAUCUCAAGAUUGUCUUAGUGUUCUGACCUGCAAAUCCAGAUGGGCAGAGCCCUUGCUUCUGCGUGACUGUUCCAGAUCUCUCUGUGUAAACUGUAGGUUUUGGCAAGAAAAAAACAUUCUGCCAAUGCCUUUUGAAGAAUUUAGGUUGACAUGAGAAAGUCUGCAGUUACACUGUGCCUGUUCAGAAAUAAGCAGCCGCCCACUUUCUCACGGUUUGAAGUCAGGAGGCCCAUCCAUAUCCCACCUGAGAGCCCCGUCUGCGCAGUGCCUCAGCCCAGAGCCAUGCCGUGCCAGCAGCCAGCAAGGCUCUGCAUCAGCAAACAGCUGAAAGAUUGCAGCAGAACCACAGCCCUGCCUGCCUUCACAGCCUGAGAGCAACCAGUUUCUCAGCCCUCGUGCCUGCAACAUGGUUAUGACUGCAUCAAAUCCCCACCACAACUGCGUAUGGUUCUGUAAACCACUUCCAAUAGGAGUCCUUUUUGUUGGUGUCUUCCCUGGGAAAAAAUAUGAACAGUCUCUUCUGAGCGAUUGCAGUAAAAAUGCACAGGUCAACCAAAGACAUACAGGGAGGAGGUGGUGUGAGCUCAGUUUAAGGAAUCCUGCAGCCUUCUGCUGAGUCCUGCAAGUGAGCAGAUGGAACUGGCCAUGCCAUAGGGCCUGAAGAGACUUCCUGGGCUGCAGGGCUGUUACAAUGGUAGUACAGCCUGGUGGGGAAUUUACCUCUUCCCAUCUCCACCCAACAGCCAACCUAGUUCACAUAAUACCUAC
ensembl:lncRNA